CUGGAACACAGUUGGGGAGGGACAAGAGAGGAGAGUUAAAAGUAGACACCUUCUUACUGUUGCGCUUCCCUUUUUUAAAACUUAUAAUGAGAAGCCUCUAGUUUUCAAUAGCAAACCAGGUCUUUCAUUUUCCUGCCUUUGGUUCUGUUGGCCAAAGUGUGCCAAUAAAGAAUAAUGUAUUUUUAAAUGCAAAGAAGUGGUUGGAGUCAGGAAUGUUAUGAUUGUAAUGCUUUGUCUCCCUUUGUAGGUGUACAUACAUUCAAAAGUACAAAGUCUAAUAAACUAUACACGCUGCUUUCUUGUUUCAGCUGGCAAUGCCUUUGAAAGGGCAGUUAUCUUUCUCUUUUACUUUGUUUGCCUCUGCCUGCAGGCAUGUAUUAAAAAUAAUAAAUACUUCCACUAGUGCAUGGUGGAACAGCUUAGUAGUUUAGACAUGAGAUGUAGAAAUAUCUGGCAUUUUCAAAACUUAGAAGUCCAACACCUCUCAGGGUCUGGCUUCUCUCAGUUCUGGCAUUAUUAUUUCGUUUGGUUGGGAUUUUUCCAGCAGGACGUGAGUCCCGAUCAGUCCUGAGACAUUUCAACACUGGCUUUCAAAGCAUUUUUAAGGCUUGGGGAAAUGUUGGCUGGGCUUUCUUCACUGUAGCGAAUGCGCCAUCUCUGCGUUUUGCGGCUUAGGAAACGGUAAGGAAGAUGCCUGUGCAGGAGCUCUAGGCUUCUUGCCAUUUAAUUUUACAGCAGCCCAAAAAGCAAACAUUCAGUAGAAACAAAUGAAUUGAACUCAACCAGCCGAUGAAUUGGCUACCAAAUAAAAAAUAGGGUGUGCGUGGAGGGUGGAAAGCUCCUCCCUUACGCUUUUGUCUUUUUAGAGAGUUGCCAAGGAAAGAACUGGGACUUAGAGACGUUUUUUUGGCAGGAUGGGAGGAAGGCCAAGGACCGUCAGGAGAACUCUGUGCUUUGUGUAGGAAGAUACUGAGUGGUCGAAAGCUCCUCCUGGCCACAGGAUGGCUCCUGGAGGCUCAGGGCAGGAGGAAUGCCAGGUGCUGCCUGGACACAGGAGUUUUGCUGCCUCUAAUGGGUCUGUCACAGGCUGCUCCAGCCGUAUGGUGGGUCUGGUGAUGACAGCAAGCGUAUAACUUCAUUUGCAGGAACAAGAUGCCGGCGUGAGAUUGCUGAAGAGGAAUAACACGCACUGGAGAUUGACAAGCGCUUGGCAAGCCCGUGUUCCUGGGGCUCAUCAGACAUUCGCGGCUCCUCUGCGAUGCUGGUGAAGAGCAUACUCAAGUGGCUGUAUCAUAGCCUGGGUGACAUCUGGUGACAUGCCGUUAGGCCUGUUGUGUUUCUGUGGGAUGAAUUCAUUUGCACAAUAUUUGAAAGGAAUCCAUUUAUGCGGAGUGGAAAUAUUCUGGCAUAUGCAAGCGACUUACAAGGCAGUAAUAUUUUCGGUCCAUCUUGUAUUUGGUGACAAAAGCGUAAUUAGCUACACUUAGCCACAUGCUAUCUUAUGGAGCAGUGUUCCAGAUUCCUGUGCUUUCCGAUGGCUGCGCUCCUCCUGC
rnacentral:lncRNA from 1 species